rnacentral:misc_RNA from 1 species
UGAGUAUCGCAGGCAGGUAGCCCACUUUUACAUGUACAUAGAACGCUGCUGCUGCCGUCGUUGUUGCUGUUGUUGCGGUGCGGUCCCGCGAGUUUUUACCGCUCUUCCUUCUUUGAAGCGCUUAGAGGUUGUUACUAUCUUUUUUUUUUCGCUUCCACGUUUGCAAGCUAUGAGGUGUGCCUGGGCCCCAAUGCUGGUGCUGUUAGCCCGCCGCGUGGCGCCUCUCACUUCCGUUUGUGUGUGGUGAUUGCGAAUGGAGACACACCGACGAAGCUGACAAGCAUGCGAAGUCGGCAAUGGCGGAGGGUCAGGCGACACUUGCAUGGAUCACGGUGUCGGUCGCUGGUCUCAGACGCCAGGCCGACAUCCACCGGAACCGCGGGCCACGCGAUGCGUCACGCGCUACUUGACGGCGACCGCCCCACACUAGAAAAAAGAUGCGGAGCCCACGAGGCGACAGGCGGACCCUCCUCGCCCAGCUCCGCACGGGCACCUGUGCCUGCUUUGGAUUCCUGCAAGCGGCGGGUAGCUGGCAGCGCCAAGAUGGCGUGCGGGUGCGGUGCGGCGAGGAGCUGACCCCCGUCGGGUGCGUACGGCUGCCCCUUCCCAACCCUGUGCCCCCUUCGCUGCGACAGGCUGUGAGCUCUCUGCGCGCUGGCGCACGUCCGUCUGCGGGCCCCUUUGCGCCUGCCACACCGGCUCCUGUGUGAGGCGUGCGGAUGCAGGAGGAGGCGGAAUGCCCCCCGCCGCCACAGACUCACGGCAGUGUCGCACCUGCCACGGUGCAUGUGGGCAGGCCAUCCAGGCACGCCCCCCGUGUCAUCGCCGGCAACGGCAGAUGGUGGCAGCGAGCCCUUCCUCCCCUCCCGCCAACAAGGGUGCCUUGAAGCAGGCCGCACGCUGCGAAUGUGCGAGCGCUGUGCGCACGCGCAGUUGGGCAGAGCCGGCAUGGUGCAUCGCAUUCCCGACGAAGCAUCCAGAGGUGCGAAGAGCGCGAGUGAUGAGCGAGAGAGGAGCCCCGUAGUACAUGCCGAUUAUGCCCACAGCGCAUGCGCGCGCAGCAUGCGGCAUCUCCUCCAUCCCACCGUGCGGGCGGAUGAGGCGCCGACCGCGCGGCACGUAUCCGAAGAGGGGACGAGGCGGGAGAGGAGGGGCCCGCUAGACGCAUGUCCCGAUUCGACGGCAUGACGGUUGCUCCUAGACGGCCAGGACGUCGCCGCAGCGCGGCAGUGGGUGCGUGGGCUGCAACUGUGCAUGCGUGUGCCUUUGCGAGCUGCUGCGUUGUGGUUUAAUGGCACAUUGAAACGAAAAAAAAAGCAACAGUGGUCUUUGCUUUUGGCCUUUGCGUCUAUGUUUUCUGCGCAGGCGCCCUUCCUUCCCCUGCAUGUAGCGUAUGGUGGUGGUAAUGCGCGAUUUGAGUUUUCUGUUUUUUUUUUUUAGCUGUCGCGCUUGCCGUAUAGGCGGCCUUUGUGUUUUGUAUUGCGUGUGCGUGUUGUCACGCAAUGCAGGGAGGGAUAACUGAAGGUGCCCCCUUCUGUCUGCCUCUCCCAGCAGCAGAGCACUCAACAACCACAAAACAGUUUGUCUCGGCACUUACGUUCUCAGCAAUUUUUUUUUCCACCUUCGAGUUUGGUGUCGUCAUUCGUGGGUAGCUCUUGGCGCGCAAGCGUUGUCCUCCCUCCCCGCCGUUG